AUCCAUAUAGCUUAAAUGAUAAGAGCGUUGUGUUGAAGCCGCAAAGGAGAUAGAUGAUAUCUAUGGAUG
rnacentral:tRNA from 1 species